CUCUUUGAAAAUGGAUUCUGUAACUGAACAAAAGAAGAAUAUUUAUCUGAGGUUUCUUUGCAUACCUAACCGUGAUACGGAAUAAAAUAAUCAAAACAAAUAAUAUGGCUGUUGAAUGUCAAUAUUGCGACUUAUAUUUGUUUGGUAGCGCUACCGAAGACUGCUCAGAAGAAUCCCAGAUCUGUGAAAAUAAAAAUAAGAAUUCAGAUAAUGGGUAUGUUAUACUUCACAAUUUGAGAUUGAAAAGGAAAAGGUGUAUUUCGUGUUCAGAUUCUGUCACAAACAAUAUGAAAUUUCUAAUGGAAAAACGGAACGUUACAAAGAAAAAUUUGAUCUUCAAAUGUUUCGUUAGGUAAGAUUGUAAGUAAUACUCUUAUGUAUCUCUCGUUUCGCUGCUAGAUGUUCAUGCCGCGCCGUUGAAACACCUGAUACCUCUCAUCCCCAAGUUCAACAGUGAACAGGCCAACUCCUCUCCACCGCAACAAAAGGAAACCUCUCAAGUUAAAAAAUCACUACCAAUUGUUCUCGCCAAUUGGUGUAAAAUAUGGCUCCAAGCCAUAACCGAAAACCUUAUAUUCGGAGAUAUUUCCAUCCGUGUUACUGCGAAUAAAUCCCCAUUAGUGACAAAUUCAUGGAGCUCAGGAUCCCCUAGUACUGCCGCCAAACCGCCACUAGUUGAGCUUCACUUGAUGACCAGCCUUGACCUCUUCGAAUAGCUUAACGACACCCCCCAAAGUUCACCCUUUCAUGAAUUCCGCUACACAAGCUGCCAGGAAUGGACUAUGCUCGCACCCAACACAGUCUGGUCUCUUACAAAAAAAAAUAGGUAGGCGUUAAAAUGCAUGAUACCAAGUCGCCCUACUCUUGAUACCUUCCGCAACUACAUCACAGAUCAUUCUACGUAGGAAAAUGUGAGGUCUGAAAUGCAUGUUAACAAAUCACCUCUAGUUUGUCAUCAUAGCCAAUUGUAGCUAAUAUUCUAUACCUAAAUGAGAGGUUAGAAACUACAGAACCGCCAAAUCAAUAUGUUAUAAAUAGCCCUUUAACUAAUAAUCUAUAUGAAACGUAAAAUCCCGAGGACUAAUGAAACUAUUUUCACCGGCCCAAAUUAUUCUAUACCAAACGAGGUAUGAGGGGAUUUCUAUUUCAACGAGCCUAAGCCAUCGAUCACCCAUUAACUAAUGACCGAUAUGGUCCAGUGGUAAAUUGAUCACCCUUCAACUAAUAACCCGUAUGGUCCAGUGGUACAUUGAUCACCCUUUGAAGGUACAGUAAUGUACACAACACAGAUGAUUCACCCUGGAAAAGUUUGUGGACUACCCUGUAUCUUAAAAUGGCUUAACUUGCUGACGAAAUACCAUGGUUCAAGAUUACCUAAGGAAAUGCCCAAGGAACUGACUUCUUCAGAAAGUGCUGCCCGAGAUCAGGCAUCAGGGGUAAUGUGGAGCUUACCCUUUAGGUGAAUCAAUUCGAAAUCAAAAAUUGAAAGUCUCAUUGCCCAAAGACUAAGUCUACCAGAGCUACCUGACAUCAUAAAGAGGUAUUUUAAACUUGCGUGAUCGGACACAACUUUAAAAUGGACCCCUUCUAUAUAUCGUCGCCUGAGUGUAAAAACUGGGUAACUCAUUUUGCACUGUUCUGAGUUAUUGGCAAAAACAUAAUUCUGUUGGUUUUAUUAAUGAUCUGGAAGCAAUUGAUUUCAAUGAAAUGACUCAAUUUUUUUUGUAGGUUUUAUUAUUGCUUAUAGAGUACAUGAACAAGGACAAAUAAAUAAUAAAAACAAAAACAUUUUUUUACGAAAAAACAAAAGUUACCCACUUGUUGCACUGGAAAUUAUAUUUUGAACCUUAAUGAAAUUAUGCCAAUAUAUCAGAGAUAACCAAAAUAUUUCUAGCAUAAAGUUGAUAUUAAAUCCAUUGGGCAGAUGAAUUUGGUUAAAUCCCCAAAAAAUAAACAGUAAUCUUAAUCUUCCUCUUCUUCAUCCGUUCUCCUAUGUGGCGGGUUGUAGUAAAAAUCAAAAUAGUCACGGCUUAAUGCCGUUGGAUUCAUAGAAAACAACGACAUUAAGUCAUUGUAUUUGACCUCAGUUAUAGGAUGACCUCGAGGAUAGCAAGGCAUCAAACUGGUCGAUUUCCGGCGUAAAACCUUUUUAUUACAAUCCACUUGUAUGAAACUAUCCACUUCAAAAGUCUCAUUACACUCAUAUUGAUACACAUUUUCUUUUUUAAAUCGGAACCAGCACAGUUUUUGAAAUUGAACAGGCUUAUUGUUAAUAUCUUUUUUUCUCAUGGUUAGCUGAGUAUCAGCAAAUGUCUUUCAAUCAAAGAAAUCUGUUCCCUGAAUAUCAUGCACAUUAUAGGGCUCAUCGCCCUUUUUUCUUGUACUUCUUCUGAUAGUUUUCCAAUCACCUGGCCAGAGAGCCUUCCCAACUCUCUUAAGCUCGGUUGCCAAUGACGGAGUGCAUAGAGUCGCACUCCGUCUCGCUGUGAUCAGGCGUUAAAAAUUUAAGAUGAAUGGAUUUCUAGUUGGCAGUUGUUUGAACUGUAUGCAUACACAUUGCAACAACAUAUUUAUUGAGAUUUUGACCCCCACAACGAUCACUGAAACACCUGACUUCUUGGAACUUGGAAGAGAUUGAAAAUACCGAAAUAGAUGGGUCACUAUUUCACAACUCCCUCUACCUCCUUGACCUUCAUGCCACAUAAAACAGUCACCUUGUUUUGUAACCACAUUAUAAAUUGUGAAAUUAUAGGUGGCUAAUCGACCUUAUAAAAUAACGCAUUAUUUGUGGGGUCAGAAGGACAAAGCAAAACUUGUUGCAAAUCGAAAUUGCAACUGAUGAUCUUAUUGUUAUCAAUAGCAGCGUCUUUGUCCAGUCGUUUCGCUUCUCGAGAAUUAUCCUUCAGUUUUUGGUGUGCAUGAUAAUUUUUCUUCAUGUCUGCUGUUGGAUCAGCUUCGCUAUUGAAGGCUCCACAAAUCCGACAUUGGUCUUUUUUUGGUCUGUGAAAACCCAGAUUGAAGUUGUCUUUGAAACAAUUUCGGUAGGUGGAUAACUUUGCCGUUGACUUUCCAUUUUCUUGACACCAUUGAACGUACAUCCUGUACAUGGCGGCUAAAUUCAACGACGAGUCCAAGUAUUUUCGUUCAAUAUCUGAUCUGCAGUAAUGGGAUGGAACACAUGGAAAACUUUUAAUGUGCAACAUUAUGUCUUGGACUAUAGCAGGAUCUAAGGUGCUACUCUUGCCCUUUCCACGUCCAUCAGAUGCUGCAAUAUUUUCGUUUGACCGCUUCUUCAUAGCUAUGUCAACAACGCCUUUCCGAAUUCCUAGUGUGUUGAGGAACAUAACUUUACAGACUUUUUUUCUGCUUCCAUCAAUCGGAAGAAAAUAAUUGAUUGAGAAAUUCCUCCUGGACUGGUGCUCGGUUGUUUUAGUUUUUUUCACAUUUUUUUCCGUGUUGGCAUGAAUAAAAUCUCGUUGUGGUGAGUAAUCUCCUAGUUCGUAAAAGGCCUUGAAAAUGUUAAGCCUUUCAGCUUCUGGGAUUGUAACAUUUCAAUCUGCAGGUUUCUUUGCAAGGAAGCAUCAUUUGGAUAGCUGGUCUUAUUUUCCCUUUCGUUGUAACGUAUUCCUUUCCUAAAAGUCUACUUUUUUUUCUAAUAUUUCUCGGCCAAUUGUCUGGAUUUCUUCUUUUCCUUCUAGGCUUAUUAGUCACCUCUGGAUGUUCCUCCAUUCCUACUAAGUUAUUUCUGGAAUUUGAUACCUCAGAGUCAGAAAAAUUACUAUUGAGAUCUAUUUCUUCAGAAUGAGAAGAAGUAUGACUAGGAAAAUAUUCAGAUUCAUCUGGAGAAAAAUCACUGACACUGGCAUUACCAGCAACCGUUCGAAAAACUUCUACAGAGUUAUUAUUACCUCGUUCUGAACUUGACCCUCCUCUGUCUUUUUCUUGAUGUAUCACAUCAUGACUCGGUCCGGGAAGUGGAAGCUGAUCGUUCCUCAAUUCAUGUUGAAGACGAGCUGAGCCAUGUUUCAGAGUGUGAUCUCUCUUCUGUUUGUUUUCAACAGACACUUCUGGAAAUUCUCUGUGAGUCGAUUCUGAUUCGGAAAAAAUGUCUAGUUCCGACCUAAAUUCAUUAUGGUACAACCUAGUGCUCAUAGACUCCGGCCCUAUGAUGUUUUCACCCAGACCUAAAAAAAAGUUAAAACGGUUAAGUAUUCACAUCAAAUACACGAAAGUUGCAAAAUUACUGAAAUCUGAAAUAACAUGUAAAAAGUAGGUAUCUCAACAUAAUUCCAUAACCUAACUUUAUGAAAACAUUAUAAAAACUGUUACUGUUUCAAAUUUUAACACUUGCUUACCUUUUGCUUGGUUCAUGGUCACCAUACUCAGAAUUUUAGACGCUCUGGAUGUCAUUAUUACUCUAAGGAACGUGUUACCGGUCUAACCUACGAAUGUCAAUACCUGAACUGAAGAACUGAACCUAAACAAUUCACGCUAUAUGGGCAUCUUCAGUUCUGUACUUUCGAAACCAUAAAUGCAGCCCUGCAAAAUUUGUAAUAACUAGGUAUCUCUAGUUACAUACUUCUAACAGAAAAGACAACGAAUAUUUUUAAGGUUGGUUUGGUGCAAUAAGCUGCUAUCUUGAGUUAUCUACUUUUUGCACUAUAAACGAUCUUCUGAGUGUUCUGAAAAAAAUAGAUGUCUUCAGUUACCCAUUUAUGACAUGACAACGAGCACGUAUUUUAUUUUAUCUACUUUUUAUAGUGUCUACUAGAUGUCGUUACAUCACUUUGACAAGUUACCUAUUUAUUACAAUAAAUUCGGCUUGUUCUUAACUAUAUGCAAUCGUGGAGAACUAGAAAUUGCAAAAUUUGGAGUUACCUAAUACUUACAUUCAGGCGACGAUAUGGCCUGAACUUUUCUAAGGCGAAAACUAAUGCUAGGCAUUCUCGAUCUGUUGCAAAAUAGUUUCUCCCUGCUCUAUUCAAACUUCAACUUGCGUAAGCUAUCACUUUCUCUUCUCCACCCUGUACUUGAGUAAGUACAGUCCCUAAUCUUGUACCACUGGCAUCACACUGAAUACAAAAUUCUAAAUAAAAAUCAGGUGCUAUUAGAAUUGGUGUAGAAACCAAUUUUUCCUCAAUUUUAAUGAAAUCUUCUUCAGAUUUUUCAUUCCAAACUAUUUCCUGACUUUUAUGCUUUCCCUUUAACGAAUCAUUUAGUGGGCUUACCAAGGUACUGAAAUGAGAAAUGAAACCCUAUACCAGGAGCACAUUCCUAUAAAACGUUUCACCUGCGUUGCUGUCUCUGGUCUAGGAUAUUCUACCAUGGCUUUGAUUUUAUCUGGCGAAGUUCGUAAACCCUUCUGAUCAACUACAAAACCUAAAUAUUGAAGAGAUUCCCUGAAGAAAUUACACUUUUUGAAGUUAACAGUUAAAUUUGCAUCCUUCUAACGAUUAAAAACUUCUUUCAACAAAUCUAUAUGUUCUAUAAAAGUCGAACUGCACAAAACUAUGUCAUCUAAAUAUACAAAUACUUUGGGCUGUAAUUCAGGACCCAAAAUCUUAUCCAUCAAACGUUGAGUUAUUGCGCCUGAAUUUGAUAAGCCAAACGGAAGUGUCUUGAAAUGAAACAGACCUCUACCAGGAACUGAAAAUGCUGUCUUUUAUUUACUCUCUUCAUCCAAACCGAUUUGCCAAAAAGCAGAUUUCAAAUCAAUUGUUGAAAUGAAUUUAGCAUCACUCAACAUAUUCAGAAUAUCUUCUAACAAAGGAAGUGGAUAAGAAUCCAUUUUUGUGAUAUCAUUUAGAGCUCUGCCAUCAAAACAAAAUCUGGUGAGCUCCAAGGACUGUAGGAAGGUUCUAGUACACCUAACUUAAGCAUCUUAUCCAAUUCUUUAUUCAGAUGUUCCAACAUGUAAGGAGAGAAUAUAUAUGGUCUCUUUCUAAAAGGAGGGUUAUCCCCUGUUUCAAUAUGAGCUUCAAUUUUGUCUGUGAAACCUAAUCUGUCUUCUGAAGAGAUUGUCCUAAAUAAAUUGAUUAUCUUUUUCAUCUCUGAUUUUUGUUCCUUGGUGAGAGUUCUACAAAGACCUACUUCUGAAUCACCUUUUACUGGACUUUCCGAUAAAAUAUUAAUAUUUUGUUCAAGUUCACUUUCAAUUUGCCAAGAAGAUUCACUAAAAUUGAUUGUGAUUUUGAAUAUUUUACAAAAAUCACUACCCAAAAUUAAACCACAUCUUAAUGAAGGUAUUACAGACAAUUUCACUAGUUUGCAAGUAUUUCCUACACACACAGGAAUUUCACAAACUCCCAAAACCAUCUGCUUCUUCCCAUCAGCUGUAGUUACUAAUCUUUUCUGAGUUUUAUCAAGUUUGAUUUUAUAUCUCUUUAUCAAAUUCAUACAGUAUUUACUUAAGCAACUUAGAUUUGCACCACUAUCCAAUAAUGCAACAAGUUCUUCAUCAUAAAAAUUGACUGCUAUAUAAGGCCUAUUAUAAAAAGGUUUCGAAAUGAAUAAGGGUAGAACAUCACUAUCUUUAACUUUUUCAAUCUUUAAGAUUGAAAGAUCUACUACACCAAAAAUAACAAAUGAACUUGAGCCUGUAUCAAGGUCAUUUUGUUUUCCAAAUCUACAUCUUUGAGAAUUAUUAUAUCUCAGACCUUUUCUAACGAAGACAUCUUGACAAUCUGAAUCAUGAGUCUUCGUUACUCGUUUUUUGAAUUGCACAAAGGACAGUUACUUUUAUAAAAAUCCAGUUUCCCACAUCUAU